UACGUAGGGUGCGAGCGUUAAUCGGAAUUACUGGGCGUAAAGCGUGCGCAGGCGGCUGUGCAAGACAGGUGUGAAAUCCCCGGGCUUAACCUGGGAACUGCACUUGUGACUGCAUGGCUGGAGUACGGCAGAGGGGGAUGGAAUUCCGCGUGUAGCAGUGAAAUGCGUAGAUAUGCGGAGGAACACCGGUAGCGAAGGCGGCAUCCUGGACCGGCAUUGACGCUGAGGCGCGAAAGCCAGGGGAGCAAACGGG
rnacentral:rRNA from 1 species